UUCAGAUAUGAAACAUGAUCUAUGAUUUGUGUGACCACAUCGUACUAGAUCUUUAAUUUUAACAAUAUUUUAAGAUUUAUUAUAUCUGUGUUUUCAGAACUCGAAAAAAUCUCGUUCAGCUAGGAUAAAAACCAAAGAUGAGGAACCAUCUCGUUCAGAAUCGAGGAGCCAAUGUGAAGAGAAACCAUCUCGUUCGAGGCACCAAUAUGUAAGUAAUAUAAUACAAAAUUUAAUAUACAACCCAA